rnacentral:rRNA from 1 species
AACGAACGCUGGCGGCAUGCCUAACACAUGCAAGUCGAACGAAGCCUUCGGGCUUAGUGGCGCACGGGUGCGUAACGCGUGGGAAUCUGCCCCUCGGUUCGGAAUAACGCAGAGAAAUUUGUGCUAAUACCGGAUGAUGACGAAAGUCCAAAGAUUUAUCGCCGAGGGAGGAGCCCGCGUAGGAUUAGCUAGUUGGUGAGGUAAAGGCUCACCAAGGCGACGAUCCUUAGCUGGUCUGAGAGGAUGAUCAGCCACACUGGGACUGAGACACGGCCCAGACUCCUACGGGAGGCAGCAGUGGGGAAUAUUGGACAAUGGGCGAAAGCCUGAUCCAGCAAUGCCGCGUGAGUGAUGAAGGCCUUAGGGUUGUAAAGCUCUUUUACCAGGGAUGAUAAUGACAGUACCUGGAGAAUAAGCUCCGGCUAACUCCGUGCCAGCCGCCGCCGUAA